rnacentral:rRNA from 1 species
GAUGAACGCUGGCGGCGUGCUUAACACAUGCAAGUCGAACGAAGCACUUUAUUUGAUUUCCUUCGGGACUGAUUAUUUUGUGACUGAGUGGCGGACGGGUGAGUAACGCGUGGGUAACCUGCCUUGUACAGGGGGAUAACAGUUGGAAACGGCUGCUAAUACCGCAUAAGCGCACAGCAUCGCAUGAUGCAGUGUGAAAAACUCCGGUGGUAUAAGAUGGACCCGCGUUGGAUUAGCUAGUUGGUGAGGUAACGGCCCACCAAGGCGACGAUCCAUAGCCGACCUGGGAGGGUGACCGGCCACAAUGGGACUGAGACACGGCCCAAACUCCUACGGGAGGCAGCAGUGGGGAAUAUUGCACAAUGGGCGAAAGCCUGAUGCAGCGACGCCGCGUGAGCGAAGAAGUAUUUCGGUAUGUAAAGCUCUAUCAGCAGGGAAGAUAAUGACGGUACCUGACGAAGAAGCACCGGCUAAAUACGUG